rnacentral:ribozyme from 1 species
UGGCGUAUUUGCUCUGUAAUGGGAUGGAAUCCGAAGCCCUCCGAGGGAUAAUAAAGGCUCUCCCAUCCAACUCCUAUUCCGACACGUCCUCGUCGUGCAUAGUGGUAACAUGUGCCUCCAUAUAUCCUAGCUUGGCUACACGGGCUAGAUCCAACCCCUUGGGCGGAUGGUGGCAUAUGGGGAACCAGGAGGGG